rnacentral:ncRNA from 1 species
AGCCUUGCGAUGAAGCGAAGAAGUACUAUCUAAAUUCAUUACAGAGAGUCAUUGGUUUGCUGGAAGAUGAUAUGAAUAUUUAGGAAAUUAAUCGUGGAGCAACUUCAACAUACUUUAAAGCGCAUACAACAAUGUAUGAACUAAGGUGGUACCGCGCGUCAAGCGUCCUUAGA